CGGCCUGAGAGGGUGAACGGCCACAUUGGGACUGAGACACGGCCCAAACUCCUACGGGAGGCAGCAGUGGGGAAUAUUGCACAAUGGGGGAAACCCUGAUGCAGCGACGCCGCGUGAGUGAUGAAGUAUUUCGGUAUGUAAAGCUCUAUCAGCAGGGAAGAUAAUGACGGUACCUGACUAAGAGGCACCGGCUAAAUACGU
rnacentral:rRNA from 1 species